rnacentral:rRNA from 1 species
GACGAACGCUGGCGGCGUGCUUAACACAUGCAAGUCGAACGGUGAAGCGCCUUCCUUUUUGGUGGGUGUGGAUGAGUGGCGAACGGGUGAGUAACACGUGAGUAACCUGCCCCCUUCUUCUGGAUAACCGCAUGAAAGUGUGGCUAAUACGGGAUAUUCUGGGUCUGUCGCAUGAUGGGUCUGGGAAAGAUAUUGUUUCGGUGGGGGAUGGGCUCGCGGCCUAUCAGCUUGUUGGUGGGGUGAUGGCCUACCAAGGCGGUGACGGGUAGCCGGCCUGAGAGGGUGGACGGUCACACUGGGACGGAGACACGGCCCAGACUCCGACGGGAGGCAGCAGUGGGGAAUAUUGCACAAUGGGCGCAAGCCUGAUGCAGCGACGCCGCGUGAGGGAUGGAGGCCUUCGGGUUGUGAACCUCUUUCGCCAGUGAAGCAGGCCUGCCUCGUUUGUGGGUGGGUUGACGGUAGCUGGAGAAGAAGCGCCGGCUAACUACGUG